rnacentral:rRNA from 1 species
GUGGAUUAGAUACCCUAGUAGUCCACGCCCUAAACGAUGAUCACUGGGUGUUCGGGGAGCGAUCUCUGAGUACCGUAGCUAACGCGUGAAGUGAUCCGCCUGGGGAGUACGGUCGCAAGAUUAAAACUCAAAGGAAUUGACGGGGACCCGCACAAGCGGUGGAUGAUGUGGAUUAAUUCGAUGCAACGCGAACAACCUUACCUACCCUUGACAUGUCCGGAAGCCCGGUGAGAGCUGGGGGUGCCCGAAAGGGAACCGGAACACAGGUGCUGCACGGCCGUCGCCAACU